ACGCUCGACACCUACGCGAGGCAGCAGUGGGGAAUAUUGCACAAUGGGGGAAACCCUGAUGCAGCGACGCCGCGUGAAGGAAGAAGUAUCUCGGUAUGUAAACUUCUAUCAGCAGGGAAGAAAGUGACGGUACCUGACUAAGAAGCCCCGGCUAACUACGUGUCAGCAGCCGCGGUAAUCUGAGCGGGCUGGCAAGGC
rnacentral:rRNA from 1 species